UCUGGAUAUAGUUGUGGCGAGCCCUCGAGAGGCUCGCAAGCUGAAGGCCAGCAUCACACUUCUCGCGCUUGUUCUCGUUGACGACGACAAGCCCGAGUUUUUCAGCCAAGUUAUGGACCUGGUGGAGUCCCUCCUGUCUUUCAGCCUCCCGACAUCACUGAAACCUUCCCCUUGCAGGCCUGCCAAGGUGGAUGUAAUCAAUUACCUUGCUCCCUGGAAAGCGGUCAACAUGAGCAAAGAGCUACGCCGGGCUAUAGAGUUGUCAAUCCCAG